GCUUCCAGGAAAGCUGACGGGGUCUAGAUGCACUUUUUCUAUAUCCCCCACUGACAAGUACUGUGAAGGCCGAACGCUCAGUGAACAGUAACUCUCUGCCCUAAAUCCAAAUGAAAUCUCACCUCAUGUGAUAGUAGUCAUGAAACCCAAAGACACAAUGUGGAGAGGAGUUCACGAGAAUGCCUGGUAUGAGGAGAGCACCCCAAAUCACUCUUUAUGAGCUCACCUCAAAUCUCGGGCUCCACUUAUCCCACGGGCGCUGCUCCUGCCUGAGUUCUGCAGCCAAGUGCCCUGUGAUUGCAAUAAGAAGGAGGAAUGAGGACUGGGGGGCAGGGAUGCAGCAAACUGACCAGCUGCCACCUCUCCAUUCUCCCAGUCAAUAUCUCUGAUCAUUGUCUCUGCACUAGCUCACAGUCUGGAAGCUUGGAGAGCCUCUUUUGUUUCUCCACUUUUUUUUUUUUCUCAGAGUUCUCUGUAAAAGCAUGUUUUGGGUUGUGCUCUCCUCUUUCAAUUAAUUUAUAUCUACCCUCUGACUUUUAGGAACUUAUUAUAUUAUUUGACAAAGCACAAAUGUGCAGAAAAAUCCUAGGCCUAAUAAACCCAGAUGUUCUGGAUGCAGCCAUUGAAGAUAAUGAUGAAGAGAUCACUCUUAAAGUGCUCUUUUUUUCUUUUCAGAUUUUAAUAGUAAAGCAGAACUU
rnacentral:lncRNA from 1 species